rnacentral:rRNA from 1 species
UACGUAGGGGGCAAGCGUUGUCCGGAAUCAUUGGGCGUAAAGCGCGUGUAGGCGGCCCGAUAAGUCCGCUGUGAAAGGCCAGGGCUCAACCCUGGGAUGCCGGUGGAUACUGUCGGGCUCGAGUCCGGAAGAGGCGAGUGGAAUUCCUGGUGUAGCGGUGAAAUGCGCAGAUAUCAGGAAGAACACCCGUGGCGAAGGCGGCUCUCUGGGACGGUACUGACGCUGAGACGCGAAAGCGUGGGGAGCGAACAGG